GACGAACGCUGGCGGCGUGCUUAACACAUGCAAGUCGAACGGGCCUGUCUUCUUUUUUGGGGGUGGGUUGGGUGGCGAAGGGGGGGGUAUCACGGGAGUAACCUGCCCUUCGGUCCUGGAUAACCGCUUGAAAGGGCGGCUAAUACGGGGUGGUCCGGUUGGUCCGCAUGGGGGGGUCGGGAUAGAUUCCCGGUGUUUGGUGGUUCGGCGGGGGAUGGGCUCGCGGCGUAUCAGCUUGUUGGUGGGGUGAUGGCCUACCGAGGGGGUGACGGGUAGCCGGGCGGAGGGGGGGGGCGGCCACAGGGGGACGGGGCUACGGCCCAGACUGCUGCGGGAGGGAGCGGUGGGGGGUAUUGCACAAGGGGCGGAAGCCUGAUGCAGCGACGUCGGGUGAGGGAGGGAGGCGUUCGGGUUGUGAACCUCUGUUUCCGGUGGUGAAGGCCCUGUCCGUGUGGUGGGGUUGACGGUAGCCGGGGAUGAAGCGCCGGCUAACUACGUG
rnacentral:rRNA from 1 species